rnacentral:rRNA from 1 species
AAUAUUGCACAAUGGGCGCAAGCCUGAUGCAGCGACGCCGCGUGAGCGAAGAAGGUUUUCGGAUCGUAAAGCUCUGUCCUCUGGGAAGAAAAAAAUGACGGUACCAGAGGAGGAAGCCCCGGCUAACUACGUGCCAGCAGCCGCGGGAAUACGUAGGGGGCUAGCGUUCUCCGGAUUUACUGGGUGUAAAGGGUGAGUAGGCGGUAACGUUUUGUAAGUUGUUAAUCUAUGGGGCCAAACCAUAACAGCAUUUGGAACUUCGGAACUUGGGGGGAGGAGGGGUAAGGGGAAUUCCUAGUGGAGCGGUGGAAUGCGGAGAUAAUAGGAGGAACACCAGUGGCGAAGGCGACUUAAUGGACUGGAACUGAAGCUGAGGCACCAAAGCGUGGGGGGCAAACAGG